rnacentral:rRNA from 1 species
GACGAACGCUGGCGGCGUGCUUAACACAUGCAAGUCGAACGGAAAGGCCCUGCUUUUGUGGGGUGCUCGAGUGGCGAACGGGUGAGUAACACGUGAGUAACCUGCCCUUGACUUUGGGAUAACUUCAGGAAACUGGGGCUAAUACCGGAUAGGAGCUCCUGCUGCAUGGUGGGGGUUGGAAAGUUUCGGCGGUUGGGGAUGGACUCGCGGCUUAUCAGCUUGUUGGUGGGGUAGUGGCUUACCAAGGCUUUGACGGGUAGCCGGCCUGAGAGGGUGACCGGCCACAUUGGGACUGAGAUACGGCGCAGACUGCUACGGGAGGCAGCAGUGGGGAAUAUGGCACAAUGGGCGGAAGCCUGAUGCAGCAACGCCGCGUGCGGGAUGACGGCCUUCGGGGUGUAAACCGCUUUCGCCUGUGACGAAGCGUGAGUGACGGUAAUGGGUAAAGAAGCACCGGCUAACUACGUG